rnacentral:rRNA from 1 species
CCUACGGGGGGCACCAGUGGGGAAUAUUGGACAAUGGGCGCAAGCCUGAUCCAGCCAUGCCGCGUGAGUGAUGACGGCCUUAGGGUUGUAAAGCUCUUUUCUCCGGGACGAUAAUGACGGUACCGGAGGAAUAAGACCCGGCUAACUUCGUGCCAGCAGCCGCGGUAAUACGAAGGGGGCUAGCGUUGCUCGGAAUCACUGGGCGUAAAGGGCGCGUAGGCGGCGUUUUAAGUCGGGGGUGAAAGCCUGUGGCUCAACCACAGAAUGGCCUUCGAUACUGGGACGCUUGAGUCUGGUAGAGGUUGGUGGAACUGCGAGUGUAGAGGUGAAAUUCGUAGAUAUUCGCAAGAACACCGGUGGCGAAGGCGGCCAACUGGACCAGUACUGACGCUGAGGCGCGAAAGCGUGGGGAGCAAACAGGAUUAGAUACCCCCGUAGUC